GACGAACGCUGGCGGCGUGCCUAAUACAUGCAAGUCGAACGGGAGCGACCGGUGCUUGCACUGGUUAAUCUAGUGGCGAACGGGUGAGUAACACGUGGGCAACCUGCCCAUCAGAGGGGGAUAACAUUCGGAAACGGAUGCUAAAACCGCAUAGGUCCUUUAACCGCAUGGUUGAAGGAGGAAAAGAGGCGCAAGCUUCUGCUGAUGGAUGGACCCGCGAUGCAUUAGCUAGUUGGUGAGGUAACGGCUCACCAAGGCCGUGAUGCAUAGCCGACCUGAGAGGGUGAUCGGCCACAUUGGGACUGAGACACGGCCCAAACUCCUACGGGAGGCAGCAGUAGGGAAUCUUCCGCAAUGGACGCAAGUCUGACGGAGCAACGCCGCGUGAGUGAAGAAGGUUUUCGGAUCGUAAAGCUCUGUUGUUAGAGAAGAACAAGUGCUAGAGUAACUGUUAGCGCCUUGACGGUAUCUAACCCAGA
rnacentral:rRNA from 1 species